rnacentral:misc_RNA from 1 species
GUGCGCGCACAUACACCCACGCCAAGUCACCACCUUGUCGCUCGCUCUCCAGAGCACACAAUCAUCGGCGAGAAGACGACGAGGACAGGGGCUGCGCACACUUCUACGACGGCGUGUGCCUGCCUCGUUGCCGCCACCUAGUCUGGCAAGCUCCCUCCUGCUCGUGGUCAGACACAGAUCGAAGUACAGUCACACAUGCGAAAACACGACCACAGCACCGGACGGUAAGGCGAAGACGAUGAGCACGGCAUCCGUAGUGAAGUUGAUGCCGCACGAGUACCUGCACGUGGAGGACACGAACACGUGUGAGGUGCUCACCCUUGUCGGUCCCAUCACCUACACCCUGUACGACCAUCACCGCCAGUUGCACGAAACACCGCAGCCAUGCGUUGUGGUGCCGCCCAGCCAAUUCGUCACGGUGAAGAAUCCGAUGCAUGCGGUACCGACCUCUCUCAAAGAUAAGGCCGAUGCGCCGCCAGUGUACACGCUGCUGCGCAGCUCACCUGGGUCCAUCACGGGCCUGGCGGCGCUGCCGUACAGCCGCUGGAAGAUGCCAUAUGGCAGCAGUGAGCUACGCUUUUUCGACGAGUCGCCGUUCCCGCUCCUGCCAGGCGAGACUGUCGACGAGCCAUCGCCCAUGCCGCUGCUAACGGCUUCAGAGGCGCUCACUCUGGAAGCACUCGCACCGCAUGACGUUGUGGAUCCCGUUACGGGUGCGGCAGUGCACCGCGCCGCUCAGGAAUGCUUUCUUUUCAAAGGACCUGGCCUCUACACCCCACGACUUGACGAGCGCAUCGUGAGCAAGGUGACCGGUGUGUACGUCUCACCGCCGCAGGUGUGCUACCUGUCGGCCAAGUACGACUUCGUGGACGAUGACGGUGUGCCCCGCGUGGCUGGAGAGCAGUGGAUUGUUCAGGCGCAUGGCAUCUUCUUUCCCCACCCCGCCGUGACGCUGCAGGUGCGUGACGCGUACGUGUUGACCAGCUUCGAGGCGUUGACGUUCGUCUCCUACAAAGCCUUCUACGAUGAGGGGUUGCAGGUUGCCCGCGAGGCGCAGAAGCCGUACCUCAUCUCGUACGCGGACACCAAGGACGGAACGUACCUCCCACGGCCGCAUGAGACGUUUCGGGGCCGGAGGAGACAGGUGCACCUCACUGCCACGCAGUACUGCGUCGUGAUCAACCCCGUCGGCGCCGAUGGAACUGCGAGGCUGCACCAAGCCGAGGUUCGCCUGGGGAAGCAGAGCUUCAUGCUGCAGCCCGGUGAGCACUGCACGAAACCUCUCACAGCGCUGGUGCUGAGCGAGGACGAAGCGCUGCUGCAUGUCGCACUGCAGACGUACACGGAGGCGGAUGGAACUGUGCGAGAGGGCGGCUCGCGUUGGCUCGUUCGCGGGCCGCGGCAGUACAUCCCGCCAGUAUACGCGCGGGUGGUGGAGCGACGGCGCAUCAUAAAGGUCGACGAGAACUGCGGCGUCUACGUGCGCAACAUCCACACAGGCAAGGUGCGCUCGGUCUUUGGCAAGCCGUUCAUGCUGGGCGCCGACGAGCAGCUGUGGGAGCGCCCCAUCGGUGCUUAUGUGCGUCGCCUUCUGGCCGAGCCGCGGCAAUCGCUGCGGGUAACGGACAUGUCCGCCAAGGAAAGGGCGGAAGCCUCCUUGGAGGAAGGGUGGGCGGCCACGAGGGUGGAGUGGGACAUGCAAGCGUCGAGCACCGCCGCCGCUGAGGUGGCCGGGGGUGGCUGCUACAGCGCUAGCAGCAGUGGCGAGAGCCUCGACUCUAGCGACGACUUCAUGGAUAGAGGCGAGUGCGCGGACGAGCUGCAGCUGCUCGACGCCGCCACCCGCAACGCGCACCCGCCGCGCCUCUCGCGCCACAUUAGUCGCUAUCACGUCAUCACCGUCAACGUGGAGCACAACACGCUGGUGCGCCUCUACGACACGAGCACCGGCCUCAGCCGCGUUGUGGCCGGCCCCGCCACGGUGUUCCUGGAGCCGCACGAGCACUUCACACCGCUUUCCCUCUCCGGCGGACGUCCGAAGGAACCGCACCAGAUCCACUCGCUAAGCCUCUACCUUGGGCCAGACUACAUGGCCGACGUCAUCGAAGUCGAGACACGCGACCACGCCCGACUGCGGCUUCACCUCGCCUACAACUGGGAGUUUGGUUCCGUAGACUCGAGCGGCAAGGCGGGCAUGGUGGACCCAGAGCUGGCCUUCACCAUCCCGGACUUCAUCGGGGAGGCGUGUAAGGCACUGGCGAGUCGUGUGCGGUCGGCGAUUGCGGGACAGGCCUUCGAGUUCUUCCACUGCAACUCGUCGACGCUCAUUCGCCAGGCGAUCUUCACGCCGGCUGAGGACGGCUCCAUCGUCUCCCACGGCGACUCGCUGUGCUUCACCGCAAACGGCCUCUACAUCACCACGGUAGAUGUGCAGAGCGUGGAGCCGGUGAACAUCAAGACGCGGACCGCGCUGGCGAAGAGCGUGCAGCUCGCGGUGGAAAUAAUCACCAAGGCGCAGGAGAGCGACGCUUCUCACCAAGCGGCGCUCCUCGAGCAGGAGGCGAAGGGUGCGUUGGACCUGCAGGUGAUGCGUGACCGCGCCAAGGCAGAGCAGCAACGCACAGAGCUGCUGCGCGUGAUGGGCGAGAACACGGCGCUGGAGCAGGCCGGCGCCAGUCGUGCGCAGGCGCUGGCUGAGAGCGCCGCGCGUCUGGCAGAGGCGCAGGGAGAGGUAGACGCCACCCCGAUUCGCUGUGCCGCCCACUCCGUCGGCAUGGACACAGAGCUGGAGGUGUUGCGCAAGCGGGCGGAGCUGGACCUCGCACACCGCCAGUCCAUGAACAACCUCGCCAUCGACAAGAUCCGCAAGCUGUCCGACAUCGAAGCGACAAAGUACGAGAAGAUCAUGGCCUCACUCGGGAGUGAGACGCUCAUCGCGAUUGCGAACGCGGGGCCGGAGCUGAAGGCGAAGCUUCUUGGCGAGCUGGGCCUGCAGGGCUUCGUCGUCACGGACGGCAAGACGCCCAUCAACAUACUGAACUUGGCAGACAAGAUGGCUGCCGGGCCAUUGGCCUCCACACCGUCCCCAGCAGCGCCUGGAGCGGCGCGAGUGUCGUGAUAGCACGCGGGCACUUGUGCAAGAGAAAAGCGCGUCCGAGGGGGGAGACAGCGGCACGGCGGUGAAGGCGCGCUUUCCCUCGCUGUUGCCUACGUCCGCAUCGGACAUCUCCGUGCGCACUGGCUACACACAGCGCCAGGGGCUGCCUCACGUCUCUCUCUUUUACUUGCGCAACUCGCCAGUGGUGCGCCGUCGUCAGUUUUGUUUCGCUGCACCUUCCUAUGUCCCGCUACACAUGCGCUCGCAUC